UCAGCUCUCUUUGCCUUUUGGCUAAGAUCAAGUGUAGUAUCUGUUCUUUUCAGUUUAAUCUCUGAAAGUGUUCUAAGGAACACAAUCGUGAUUAUACUUAUUUUUGGCUCUCGGACUUUGGCCGCUAUGCUUGCAUAUGUCAUCGUUCACAGUGUCCCUGGCAUUACACUGCCUCCAGGCGACGCGAACUUUU
rfam:Ceratocystis platani strain CFO contig_00202, whole genome shotgun sequence.